rnacentral:rRNA from 1 species
AUUGAACGCUGGCGGCAUGCCUUACACAUGCAAGUCGAACGGCAGCACGGGUGCUUGCACCUGGUGGCGGGUGGCGAACGGGUGAGUAAUACAUCGGAACAUGUCCUGUAGUGGGGGAUAGCCCGGCGAAAGCCGGAUUAAUACCGCAUACGUUCUACGGAUGAAAGCGGGGGCCCUUCGGGCCUCGCGCUAUCGGGUUGGCCGAUGGCUGAUUAGCUAGUUGGUGGGGUAAAGGCCUACCAAGGCGACGAUCAGUAGCUGGUCUGAGAGGACGACCAGCCACACUGGGACUGAGACACGGCCCAGACUCCUACGGGAGGCAGCAGUGGGGAAUUUUGGACAAUGGGCGAAAGCCUGAUCCAGCAAUGCCGCGUGUGUGAAGAAGGCCUUCGGGUUGUAAAGCACUUUUGUCCGGAAAGAAAUCCUUGGCCCUAAUACGGUCGGGGGAUGACGGUACCGGAAGAAUAAGCACCGGCUAACUACGUG